UACGAAGGGGGCUAGCGUUGUUCGGAAUCACUGGGCGUAAAGCGUACGUAGGCGGAUCGUUAAGUCAGAGGUGAAAUCCCGGAGCUCAACUUCGGAAUUGCCUUUGAUACUGGCGGUCUUGAGUUCGGGAGAGGUGAGUGGAACUGCUAGUGUAGAGGUGAAAUUCGUAGAUAUUAGCAAGAACACCAGUGGCGAAGGCGGCUCACUGGCCCGAUACUGACGCUGAGGUACGAAAGCGUGGGGAGCAAACAGG
rnacentral:rRNA from 1 species